GUGAGCUCUGAGAUUCUGCAAUGGUAGCAAGCUCCCAGGUGAUGUCAAUGUACUCCACGGCCCCUACUCUGAGUAGCGAGUUGCUAAAGAAGAGAUAAAGUUGGGGUCAUAAGCAGGAGCCGGUGAAUAGUGUUUUGAUGGCGAUGCUACAGAAUUUGGAUUCUCUCUAAAAAAGAACAGGGGUAACAACGAUGCUUGGAUAACUUGAAACUGACGUUGGCUUCCUAAGUUUAUUGGAAGCUUGAAAGUCAUUCCCACCAGACAGCUUUCUCAUCAUCCCUGGGUAGAGCAUCACAUGCAUAUCUUAGUGUAGAGCCUGUUGCCCUGGAAGGUAAUGCUGAAUCACCCAUCUAUCUAUCAGAGUCCCUUGACUUUAAGCACUGGGAGACCAGUUAUGUCUUUUUCCGCAUUGAAUCCUCAAACUGUAUGCACCCCACACCUACCACUGUACCUGACCUAUACAACCUUUUUCCAUAAACCUUGGUCACAUGAUAUAUUCGUUCUAGAUCAGUGAUUUUCAAAUGUUAGCGUGUGUCCCAAUCACCUGGAUGGCUUUUUAAGGCAGAUUGCUGGAUCCCACGCCCACGGUUUGUGAUUCCGUACGUCUGGGAUGGAGAUCGAGAGUUUGCAGUUACAACAUGCUCCCAGGUGAUGCAGAUGCCACUGGUCUGGGGACCACACUUCGAGAACCACUGGUCUAGAAGAAUCACUGGUUACUUCCUACGAAGUGGUGUUAACAAAAGAGAUAAACUCUGCCUUCAAGUUCACCCACAGCAGGUUGGUGUCUUUGCAGAGGCACGUGAAAGUGUUUGCAUCUGGAGGUUCAUGUGUGUGGUGUUGUGUCCACGUCAUGAGACAGAAGGAUGGAUUAUUCACUGGAGUUUUUACGGACCCACAUUCAAGUGUUUCCCCAGCUGUGUUUACAGCUUUGGGUUUCUAAGCCUCUUGAGAAGUAAUCAGUUUUGAUUAUCUUAAAUCCCAAAGUAAAUUUUCUUUUUUUUGGAGAUGAUUCUAGUUGCUAACACAGGUUAGCCUGGCCCAUUAAACCAUCUUUUAGUGCCAUGACCUUCAAGAAGAAGGCUGUGGUUUUGCUUCGAGGAGAAAGGACGAUUUGAAAUAUGACUGAGAUUCUUCCUCGUAAGAGAUGAGGUCUCAAAACUCCUUUGCUUUUUUUUUUUUUUUUUUUUUAAGUCUUGUCCUACUCUUUUGUCACUUCAUUGAAGAAGUCUGGUCUCUUUAAAAUAGUGUUAAGGACUUGUAGAGCCAAGAUUCUUAUAUGAUAUUGUUUUUUG
rnacentral:lncRNA from 1 species